AGGCACGACGGCAACGGGAAGGAGGGCACCGAGUAGGGCUGGUCGGUGGCACAAUGGUAUCAUAUCCCAUAAGUUUCCAUGAGACUAAAAAAUAUGUUGUAAACAUGAGAAUGCAAAACAAUUAUUUUGUCGUAGAUUUUCUGUUUUCAAAAGCUUCAUUUUUCUACAAUAUUUUUUUUUGCUAGAGCAUGGAUCCAAAUUUCUGCUCGGGAUACAUGGUAAAGAAG
rnacentral:lncRNA from 1 species